AACGAACGCUGGCGGCAGGCUUAACACAUGCAAGUCGAACGCCCCGCAAGGGGCGUGGCAGACGGGUGAGUAACGCGUGGGAACAUACCCUUUUCUACGGAAUAGCUCUGGGAAACUGGAAUUAAUACCGUAUACGCCCUACGGGGGAAAGAUUUAUCGGGGAAGGAUUGGCCCGCGUUGGAUUAGCUAGUUGGUGGGGUAAAGGCUUACCAAGGCGACGAUCCAUAGCUGGUCUGAGAGGAUGAUCAGCCACAUUGGGACUGAGACACGGCCCAAACUCCUACGGGAGGCAGCAGUGGGGAAUAUUGGACAAUGGGCGCAAGCCUGAUCCAGCCAUGCCGCGUGAGUGAUGAAGGCCUUAGGGUUGUAAAGCUCUUUCACCGAUGAAGAUAAUGACGGUAGUCGGAGAAGAAGCCCCGGCUAACUUCGUG
rnacentral:rRNA from 1 species